rnacentral:rRNA from 1 species
GCGCGCGCAGGCGGUUCCUUAAGUCUGAUGGGAAAGGCCCACAGCUCAACUGUGGAGGGCCAUUGGAAACUGGGGAACUUGAGGACAGAAGAGGAGAGCGGAAUUCCACGUGUAGCGGUGAAAUGCGUAGAUAUGUGGAGGAACACCAGUGGCGAAGGCGGCUCUCUGGUCUGUAACUGACGCUGAGGCGCGAAAGCAUGGGUAGCGAACAGGAUUAGAUACCUUGGUAGUCCAUGCCGUAAACGUUGAGUGCUAGGUGUUAGGGGGUCCAACCCUUAGUGCUGCAGUUAACGCAAUAAGCACUCCGCCUGGGGAGUACGGCCGCAAGGCUGAAACUCAAAGGAAUUGACGGGGGCCUGCACAAGCGGUGGAGCAUGUGGUUUAAUUCGACGCAACGCGAAGAACCUUACCAGGUCUUGACAUCUUCGGACAGCCCAAGAGAUUGGGUCUUCCCUUCGGGGACCGAAUGACAGGUGGUGCAUGGUUGUCGUCAGCUCGUGUCGUGAGAUGUUGGGUUAAGUCCCGUAACGAGCGCAACCCCUGAUCUUAGUUGCCAGCAUUCAGUUGGGCACUCUAGGAUGACUGCCGGUGACAAACCGGAGGAAGGCGGGGAUGACGUCAAAUCAUCAUGCCCCUUAUGACCUGGGCUACACACGUGCUACAAUGGAUGGUACAAAGGGAAGCCAAACCGCGAGGUCGAGCUAAUCCCAUAAAGCCAUUCUCAGUUCGGAUUGUAGGCUGCAACUCGCCUGCAUGAAGCCGGAAUCGCUAGUAAUCGCGGAUCAGAAUGCCGCGGUGAAUACGUUCCCAGGCCUUGUACACACCGCCCGUCACACCACGAGAGUUGGCAACACCCGAAGUCGGUGGGGUAACCUUCACGGAGCCAG